rnacentral:rRNA from 1 species
UGCCAGACUCCUACGGGAGACAGCAGUGGGGAAUAUUGCACAAUGGGGGAAACCCUGAUGCAGCAACGCCGCGUGAGUGAAGAAGUAUUUCGGUAUGUAAAGCUCUAUCAGCAGGGAAGAAGAAAGACGGUACCUGACUAAGAAGCCCCGGCUAACUACGUGCCAGCAGCCGCGGUAAUACGUAGGGGGCAAGCGUUAUCCGGAUUUACUGGGUGUAAAGGGAGCGUAGGCGGAAUGCCAAGUCAGCGGUAAAAUCGCGGGGCUCACCCUCGCUCCGCCGUUGAAACUGGCGUUCUUGAGUGGGCGAGAAGUAUGCGGAAUGCGUGGUGUAGCGGUGAAAUGCAUAGAUAUCACGCAGAACUCCGAUUGCGAAGGCAGCAUGCCGGCUCCACACUGACGCUGAGGCACGAAAGCGUGGGUAUCGAACAGGAUUAGAUACCCCAGUA